rnacentral:rRNA from 1 species
AGUGGCGGACGGGUGAGUAACGCGUGAGAAUCUGCCUUGGGGUCGGGGACAACCACUGGAAACGGUGGCUAAUACCGGAUAAGCCGAUUGGUGAAAGAUUUAUUGCCCGAAGAGGAGCUCGCGUCUGAUUAGCUAGUUGGUGAGGUAAGAGCUCACCAAGGCAGCGAUCAGUAGCUGGUCUGAGAGGACGAUCAGCCACACUGGGACUGAGACACGGCCCAGACUCCUACGGGAGGCAGCAGUGGGGAAUUUUCCGCAAUGGGCGAAAGCCUGACGGAGCAAGACCGCGUGAGGGAGGAAGGCUCUUGGGUUGUAAACCUCUUUUCUCAGGGAAGAAGCUCCGACGGUACCUGAGGAAUCAGCCUCGGCUAACUCCGUGCCAGCAGCCGCGGUAAUACGGAGGAGGCAAGCGUUAUCCGGAAUUAUUGGGCGUAAAGCGUCCGCAGGUGGCGAUUCAAGUCUGCUGUCAAAGCACGGGGCUUAACUCCGUAAAGGCAGUGGAAACUGAAUAGCUAGAGUGCCGUAGGGGUAGAGGGAAUUCCCGGUGUAGCGGUGAAAUGCGUAGAGAUCGGGAAGAACAUCGGUGGCGAAAGCGCUCUACUGGACGGCAACUGACACUCAGGGACGAAAGCUAGGGGAGCGAAUGGGAUUAGAUACCCC